rnacentral:rRNA from 1 species
CAGCCGAGGGUAGAGAAGGUCCACAGUGCGGCCUUUUGUAUAAUGGGUCAGCGACUUAUAUUCUGUAGCAAGGUUAACCGAAUAGGGGAGCCGUAGGGAAACCGAGUCUUAACCGGGCGUUAAGUUGCAGGGUAUAGACCCGAAACCCGGUGAUCUAG